GUUAAGGGCAUAUGGUGGAUGUCUUGGCGUUGAGAGGCGAUGAAGGACGUAGGAACUUGCGAUAAGUCUUAGGGAGCUGGUAACCAAGCAAUGAUCUAAGAAUCUCCGAAUAGGGAAACCUAAUCUGUUCUGCAGAUUACCCAUACCCGAAUGCAUACGGUAUGGGGGCGAACGCAGCGAACUGAAACAUCUCAGUAGCUGUAGGAAAGGAAAGCAAAAGCGACUCCGUAAGUAGCGGCGAGCGAAAGCGGAUCAGCCCGGUGUGAAUAUAUAUUUGUCAUACUUUGAAGUGUCUGGAAAGGCACACCACAGAAGGUGAUAGUCCUGUACGGGAACAGCAAAUAUGUAGAAGCAUCUUUACGAGUAGCACGGAGCUCGUGAAACUCUGUGUGAAUAUAGCGGGGUCCACCCCGUAAGGCUAAGUACUCCUCAACGACCGAUAGUGAAUCAGUAAGGUGACUGAAUGAUGAAAAGCACCCCGAUAAGGGGCGUGAAAAGUACCUGAAACCAUAUGCUUACAAGCUGUAGGAGCACCCUCGUGGUGUGACUGCGUGCCUUUUGCAUAAUGAUCCUACGAGUUGUUCUCUGUAGCAAGGCUAAGUUGAAUCCCAACGGAGCCGAAGGGAAACCGAGUCUAAAUAGGGCGACAUAGUUGCAGGGAGCAGACGCGAAACCUGGUGAUCUACCCAUGGGCAGGUUGAAGAAGGGGUAAAACCCUUUGGAGGACCGAACACACCUACGUUGAAAAGUGGGGUGAUGACCUGUGGGGAGGAGUAAAAGUCUUAUCAAACCAGGAGAUAUCUCGUUCUCUCCGAAAUAGCUUUAGGGCUAGCCUCGAGUUAUAUUGUUUGGGGGUAGAGCUACUGGAUGGAGAUGGGGGCCCACAAGGCUACCCACUCCAACCAAACUCCGAAUACCAAACAACUCUAUCUCGGGAGUCAGUCCGUGGGAGAUAAUUUCCACGGUCGAAAGGGAAACAGCCCAGACCGUCAGUUAAGGUCCCUAAUCAAACCUAAGUUUGUUAAGGUAGUUAAAUUGCAGUGACAGCCAGGAUGUUGGCUUAGAAGCAGCCACCAUUUAAAGAGUGCGUAACAGCUCACUGGUCGAGGAAUUUAGCGCCGAUAAUGAUCGGGAAUUAAGGUUUGUACCGAAACUGCGGAAUGAAUUUAUUCAUUGGUAGGAGAGCGUUGCUGUCAGCGUUGAAGGUGUCCCGGAAGGGUAUCUGGAGCGGCAGCAAGUGAAUAUGUAGGAUUGAGUAACGAUAAAUGGAGUGAGAAUCUCCAUCGCCGAAAACCUAAGGUUUCCUGGGGAAGGUAAAUCCGCCCAGGGUUAGGCGGGACCUAAGGCGAGGCCGAAAGGCGUAGUCGAUGGACAGCAGGUUAAUAUUCCUGCCCCAUCAUGUGAGGUUGAACCAUCGGUGCGGAUCUUGAAGUUCAGCGGGACAGUGAAGCGUCCAGGCCCUUGAGGCCGUUGCUGGGUGGAUAGGUUCCAAGAAAAGCCGUAUGGGGACGAUCAUGAUGCCCGUACUAAAACUGACACAGGUAGGUGUGGCGAAUAGCCUCAGGCGCUCGAGAAAACGGUUGUGAAGGAACUAGGCAAAUUGACCCUGUAAGUUCGCGAUAAAGGGGCCCUAUCCAUUUGGAAGGGCGCAGAGAAUAGGCUCUGGCGACUGUUUAUCAAAAACACAGCACUGUGCUAACACGCAAGUGGACGUAUACAGUGUGACUCCUGCUCGGUGCCGGAAUGUUAAGGAAGUAGGUUAGCUCACGCGAAGCUUAUGACCGAAGCACCGGUAAACAGCGGCCGUAACUAUGACGGUCCUAAGGUAGCGAAGUUCCUUGUCGGGUAAGUUCCG
rnacentral:rRNA from 1 species